rnacentral:rRNA from 1 species
GCGUUUGAAGAGGGGCCCGCGUCCGAUUAGCUAGUUGGUGAGGUAAUGGCUCACCAAGGCGACGAUCGGUAGCCGGCCUGAGAGGGCGGACGGCCACACUGGGACUGAGACACGGCCCAG